rnacentral:rRNA from 1 species
CUCCAUGUGUAGCGGUGGAAUGCGUAGAUAUAUGGAAGAACACCAGUGGCGAAGGCGGCUGUCUGGUCUGCAACUGACGCCGAGGCUCGAAAGCAUGGGUAGCGAACAGGAUUAGAUACCCUGGUAGUCCAUGCCGUAAACGAUGAGUGCUAGGUGUUGGAGGGUUUCCGCCCUUCAGUGCCGGAGCUAACGCAUUAAGCACUCCGCCUGGGGAGUACGACCGCAAGGUUGAAACUCAAAGGAAUUGACGGGGGCCCGCACAAGCGGUGGAGCAUGUGGUUUAAUUCGAAGCUACGCGAAGAACCUUACCAGGUCUUGACAUCUUGCGCUAACCUUAGAGAUAAGGCGUUCCCUUCGGGGACGCAAUGAC